AGUGAACGCUGGCGGUAGGCCUAACACAUGCAAGUCGAACGGCAGCACAGUAAGAGCUUGCUCUUACGGGUGGCGAGUGGCGGACGGGUGAGGAAUACAUCGGAAUCUACUUUUUCGUGGGGGAUAACGUAGGGAAACUUACGCUAAUACCGCAUACGACCUACGGGUGAAAGCAGGGGAUCUUCGGACCUUGCGCGAUUGAAUGAGCCGAUGUCGGAUUAGCUCGUUGGCGGGGUAAAGGCCCACCAAGGCGACGAUCCGUAGCUGGUCUGAGAGGAUGAUCAGCAACACUGGAACUGAGACACGGUCCAGACUCCUACGGGAGGCAGAAGUGGGGAAUAUUGGAAAAUGGGCGCAAGCCUGAUCCAGCCAUACCGCGUGGGUGAAGAAGGCCUUCGGGUUGUAAAGCCCUUUUGUUGGGAAAGAAAAGCAGCAGGUUAAUACCCCGCUGUUCUGACGGUACCCAAAGAAUAAGCACCGGCUAACUUCGUG
rnacentral:rRNA from 1 species